UGAGACACGGCCCAAACUCCUACGGGAGGCAGCAGUAGGGAAUCUUCCACAAUGGACGAAAGUCUGAUGGAGCAACGCCGCGUGAGUGAAGAAGGGUUUCGGCUCGUAAAACUCUGUUGUUAAAGAAGAACAUAUCUGAGAGUAACUGUUCAGGUAUUGACGGUAUUAACCAGAAAGCCACGGCUAACUACGUGCCAGCAGCCGCGGUAAUACGUAGGUGGCAAGCGUUGUCCGGAUUUAAUGGGCGUAAAGCGAGCGCAGGCGGUUUUUUAAGUCUGAUGUGAAAGCCUUCGGCUCAACCGAAGAAGUGCAUCGGAAACUGGGAAACUUGAGUGCAGAAGAGGACAGUGGAACUCCAUGUGUAGCGGUGAAAUGCGUAGAUAUAUGGAAGAACACCAGUGGCGAAGGCGGCUGUCUGGUCUGUAACUGACGCUGAGGCUCGAAAGUAUGGGUAGCAAACAGGAUUAGAUACCCUGGUAGUCCAUACCGUAAACGAUGAAUGCUAAGUGUUGGAGGUUUCCGCCCUUCAGUGCUGCAGCUAACGCAUUAAGCAUUCCGCCUGGGGAGUACGGCCGCAAGGCUGAAACUCAAAGGAAUUGACGGGGGCCCGCACAAGCGGUGGAGCAUGUGGUUUAAUUCGAAGCUACGCGAAGAACCUUACCAGGUCUUGACAUACUAUGCAAAUCUAAGAGAUUAGACGUUCCCUUCGGGGACAUGGAUACAGGUGGUGCAUGGUUGUCGUCAGCUCGUGUCGUGAGAUGUUGGGUUAAGUCCCGCAACGAGCGCAACCCUUAUUAUCAGUUGCCAGCAUUAAGUUGGGCACUCUGGUGAGACUGCCGGUGACAAACCGGAGGAAGGUGGGGAUGACGUCAAAUCAUCAUGCCCCUUAUGACCUGGGCUACACACGUGC
rnacentral:rRNA from 2 species